rnacentral:rRNA from 1 species
UACGUAGGUGACCAGCGUUGUCCGGAUUUACUGGGCGUAAAGAGCGCGCAGGCGGUCGUUCAAGUCGAGUGUGAAAGCCCCCGGCUCAACUGGGGAGGGUCAUUCGAUACUGUUCGACUCGAAGGCAGGAGAGGGAAGUGGAAUUCCCGGUGUAGUGGUGAAAUGCGUAGAUAUCGGGAGGAACACCAGUGGCGAAGGCGACUUCCUGGCCUGUUCUUGACGCUGAGGCGCGAAAGCUAGGGGAGCAAACGGG